UCUAUUAAACCAUCACCUUCAUAACUCGCAUUCAGUAGCACCUUCACCCUCCUCGAUUGUUACAAAACUUAUCCUAUAAAUAAGGAGAAACUUAUUGGGAGAGCUAUUCAAGACGAAUCGCGAUGAAUCUGAUGAUGAUUCCCUGGAUCGAGAAGUCUUGGUGUCGUUUCAUCUCAUGUUCUUCUCCCCAGAACGGUUACGCGAUGAAUUGAUUGUCUUUCACUAAUGACCUUCUUAACUCCUUGAUGCACUGCAACCACAAUUUCAGAUCCAAUGCAUUCUUCAAGCCGGUGCAUAUACAGAUAUAAAAAGAUCAAGACAGAGACCAUGAAUGAUGAUUCAAGGAGAGAAUAAGAAACUGUCUUUAUCGAGCCUUGGGUCUAUAGACCCUCCUCGCAGGAGAGAAUAAAGACAAAACAAGCAAAAACAAAAGAAGCAGAAACGACAACAAGUCUCCGAAGUGAAUAGGAGGUAACAUCUCAGGCUCUUAUGAUGUCUCUGAUUCUGUGGAAACAUGAUCAAAUGUGUGAUUCUUGGUUUCUUCAAUUUAAAGUCCACGAAUUUUUUUUGUUCUAUCAACUUUGUGUUCUACUUUUGUAUCUUUUCAGUUGUAAAAAGGUCGAACGAAUAUAGCAUUGUGCC